rnacentral:rRNA from 1 species
GCAGAGAGACAGGUGGUGCAUGGUUGUCGUCAGCUCGUGUCGUGAGAUGUUGGGUUAAGUCCCGCAACGAGCGCAACCCCUGUAUUUAGUUGCUAACACGUGAGGUGAGCACUCUAGAUAGACUGCCGGUGAUAAACCGGAGGAAGGUGGGGAUGACGUCAAAUCAUCAUGCCCCUUAUGUUCUGGGCUACACACGUGCUACAAUGGCCGGUACAGACGGAAGCGAAGCCGCGAGGUGAAGCCAAUCCGAGAAAGCCGGUCUCAGUUCGGAUUGCAGGCUGCAACUCGCCUGCAUGAAGUCGGAAUCGCUAGUAAUCGCAGGUCAGCAUACUGCGGUGAAUACGUUCCCGGGCCUUGUACACACCGCCCGUCACACCACGAAAGUCUGCAACACCCGAAGCCGGUGGGGUAACCCGCAAGGGAGCUAGCCGUCGAAGGUGGGGCCGAUAAUUGGGGUGAAGUCGUAACAAGGUAGCCGUAUCGGAAGGUGCGGCU